AUAUCAAUAAGCGGAGGAAAAGAAACCAACAGGGAUUACCUCAGUAACGGCGAGUGAAGCGGUAACAGCUCAAAUUUGAAAGCUAGCUCUUUUAGGGUUCGCAUUGUAAUUUGUAGAAGAUGCUUCGGGUGUGGCCCCGGUCUAAGUUCCUUGAAACAGGACGUCAUAGAGGGUGAGAAUCCCGUAUGUGACUGGGUGCCUUCGCUCAUGUGAAGCUCUUUCGACGAGUCGAGUUGUUUGGGAAUGCAGCUCAAAAUGGGUGGUAAAUUUCAUCUAAAGCUAAAUAUUGGCCAGAGACCGAUAGCGCACAAGUAGAGUGAUCGAAAGAUGAAAAGCACUUUGGAAAGAGAGUUAAACAGUACGUGAAAUUGUUGAAAGGGAAGCGCUUGCAACCAGACUUGCGCGCUGAUGAUCAUCCGGGCUUCUGCCCGGUGCACUCGUCUGCGCUCAGGCCAGCAUCGGUUUCGGUGGUGGGAUAAAGGCCUUGGGAAUGUAGCUCCUCUCGGGGAGUGUUAUAGCCCUCGGUGCAAUGCCGCCUACCGGGACCGAGGACCGCGCUUCGGCUAGGAUGCUGGCGUAAUGGUUGUAAGCGA
rnacentral:rRNA from 1 species